UACGUAGGGUGCAAGCGUUAAUCGGAAUUACUGGGCGUAAAGCGUGCGCAGGCGGUUCGCUAAGACCGAUGUGAAAUCCCCGGGCUUAACCUGGGAACUGCAUUGGUGACUGGCGGGCUAGAGUAUGGCAGAGGGGGUAGAAUUCCACGUGUAGCAGUGAAAUGCGUAGAGAUGUGGAGGAAUACCGAUGGCGAAGGCAGCCCCCUGGCCAAUACUGACGCUCAUGCACGAAGCGUGGGAGCAACAGG
rnacentral:rRNA from 1 species